rnacentral:lncRNA from 1 species
CCCUUCCCCAGUCCUCUUCCUCUGGUUGUUGCAUGGAUAAGAUCCAGAUCCGGACACGUACCUAAACCUGAUGGUGACUCAGGGAAACCUGUGAUGCUUUCCCCCAUUGCUGUGCUGCCAUCCCAGUGCUACCCCACGCUGCUCCCAUUGCCAUCCCCUUGUGGGAGCUGUGCCCCAUGGUGCUGUCCCAAGGGCUGAGAGGUUCUCUGGGGGCUGCUUUGUUUUUCCAAGGGUGGCUGCUGGGAAGGAGCAGGUCUGCCUUUGGUGGUAUCCCUUCAAUCCCUGCUUAAAUCCCUACUGAUGUCCUAUGGAGUUCAAUAGGACUUGUGCCUUUCUCCUGCCUGGAUGCAGCAGGAUCCCUGCCCCAGGUCCCAGGGAAGGAGAUGUGAGCUUUGAAUCAGGGGUGCCCAUCAGCAAGAAGGGAGGAGAAGGAACCCCACUGCCUGUUAGCUGCUUUCUUUGCACUGGAGAAAAAAAAAAGGCAGAGAGGGGGGAAUGGGGCAUGCUGGUGUUCUGCUUCCCAGGGCUGAGGAAUUCCCACUGGUGCUGAGGAUCAUAGAAUUGCUAAGGUUGGAAAAGACCCGCAGGAUCAUCCAGUCCAACCAUUAAAUGUAAAGCAAAAAGGAAAGGAAGCAAAAACAAGGAGGAGAAUUCCUCUGUACCUCGGUUUCUCAUUGCUGGGGCUCAUGCUGCUCACCUACCUCACAGGGUACUGCCCACAGCCCCGUGCCCCCAAAGCACUUUGUGGCCCUCAGUGCCACGCACCGGGCAAAGCGAUGCUGAGUGGGUUAUGGGGUUUGUAUUAAUGCUGUCAGGAUGUUGUGUUGUCGUUCAGCUGGAGGCAAAUGAAAAACAAAGCCAAAUAAACCCCACCAAAAAAAUCAGAUUUUGUUUUGUCCUUCCAGGCUCUGCCCACUUUCUCAGUCUUCAGAGUGCAUCUGAGGCCAUGGGGCUUCAGCAGCACUGGGUUUUAUGGAGUCUUUUCUCUCUUUUUUUUUUUUUUCUUCUAUUUUGUUUUUCCUCUGUUGUAGCUUCUGUUUCGUUUGGGUGAAGUCAGUGUGAGCCUGUGAAAAGUGCACGUUCCUCUAAGCAUCCCUUGAGCCAUCCUUUCAGCAUCCCAGUAACGCUCUUGCUGCUGAUGUUCCAGCCUGGCUGUGGGCUGUGCAGAUGGGAGGCGAAGGAUUUGGGCUGCAGAUUUGCUUUUGGGAGCAAUGGUUGGCAGUGAUUUUGCUCAAGAGGUUUCCAUUCCCUCCUGGUGGAAAGGGAGAGGACAACGCUGGCUGCCCGUUGCUGGGUUGCCAGCAGGUGGAAGGGUCCAAAUGGACUGGGGGGCAGCAUUGGGCUGAGUGAUGCUUCAGGUCCUAACAGAGGUGUGAGCCGUGGUGGUGCAGAGCAUGGGAGCUCCACGUCAGUGCUGAGUAGGAAGGGAAAAACGAAGCCUGACUCAGUGAACUCAGCCUUCCUUCAGCAUUUUGGUGGUUUUCUAUUCUUUUUUUUUUCUUUUUCCUCUUUUAUUUUCCUUUCUUUGGAACAUUUGUGAUUGUGGAUAAAACCCCAAAGGGAAACCAGGAGGCAGAGGCUCUUCAAUGCUGAAUUUUGGAGAACGUGCAGAUGCUGCGAACGCACACAUGCAAACUACCUCAGGGCUGAGCAUUGGGCACAGGGGGGGCUUUGGGCACAGCCCCCCCCCCCCCCCCCCCCCCCCCAGACUGCAGGGACAUCCCAGGGGAGAACUGCAGUGUAGAAGAGGAGAGCUGGUGAGGAAGGCUGCUGGGGCUGCUGGUUUGGAAUUGUCGCUGGGCAUUACAUUGGGCCCAUUGGAAAUCAACCCAUUGCUGCAUUAUGCAUUUUGUAGCUUUUGGUGCAGGCAAAUAGCUCCGAGCAGGGAUGCUGUGUUGGGCCAUGGUGGCAAAGCGGUGGGUUACGAACUGGAAAGCAUCAACAUGAGCUAAUGAUGGAAAGGGACUUUUUGCUUGGAAAAAAAAAAAAAGAAAAUAACCAGCACCAAAUUAAGGCAUGGGAGACAGCUGUAUGGCACAACCAAAGCCAUUAUUUUUUUCCAACCCAUUUGGGAAAUGCUCUCUGUAAAGCAGCACAGGCUGUUGUCCAUGGGGAUGCAGCGCUUGGGGCAGAGCAUCCCGCAGGGCCCCAUCCUUCCCACACCCCCUACUGCCACUGGGGUCACCCCAGAAAACAGAUGGGAUUGUCUGGAAUCAGAGUGGAAACCGUGAGAAUCACUGGAAUGGGGUGAAGUGUUCCAUUUCCCAGCAGAUAUUGGUUCAUUUGAAGCACAUCUGGAUUCAGUGUUGACCAUCAAACUUUUGUUGACUUCAGGAGGCAAAAAUCCGCUCCUCAGACCCAACAUGUGCCUUCCCCCUCCCCUGACGCUGCCUUGGACACAGCUCUGGGUGGCUGCAUUGGAACCCCACGACUUUUGGGGUCACCCUACAUGAGGCAAAGCCCCAGAGGAAGCCCUGGAGUUGGGGGUCCGCCCGCUCCACCACGUCAGCCCCAGGGCAUGACCUCCUAUAUAACCAAGUCAUUUUUGUUUAUCUACCUCUUAGUGACAAUAGAUUAAAACUAGGUAGUGGCAACUCCACAUGCUGUAGUUUAGGGGAAAAAAAAAAUUACUCUUUUUCCAAAGAAAAAUGUUCUUUAAAAAUAGAAUUUAUGGGCUUUCUUUUCACUUUAAAGUGGUCGUUAGUUGUAAAAUCUCCAGACCUCAGCAGUCCAAACCGUUUUGGUUGUGACUGACUUUUUUUUGUUGUUGUUAUUUUAUUUUUAACGCUCCGACUUCCAUUACGUUUGGUUUCUUCCCUUUUGAACUUUGAUAUUUACUUCUGUCAGCAGUAGAACUCCAUCAGCUCCCCAGCAUCGCGGGGCUGAACCCCAUCGUGCAUGGGUGGGAGAUGCUGGGGCCAUCAGUCAAUGGUUUUCCCAGUGGCCAUGGGUGUGGGUGGCUUAGUGGUGUGGGUUUGGUGGCACCAAGUUGGAACUGGGGUGGUGGUACCAGGUUGGUGGCACCACUGGUGGCACCGAGGUGGUGGAAUCAGGUUGGUGGCACCAAGUUGGCUCUGGGUUGCUGGAACUGGGUUGAUGGCAUCGGACCGGUGGCUCACUGGUGGCGCCAGUUUGGUUGUACCGGGUUGGUGGCACCACGUUGGUGGCGUUGGGUUGGUGCCGCUGGGCUGGUGCCGACACGAGCACUGCCAUGAGUCCUCCAGCCGUCCAAUCUGAUCCAAUGGAGCCAGCCCUGGGCUCCCAUUCACCCCGCACCCAGGAGCCAUAGGGACAGCUGCACCCAAGGGCGCUCACCACACCAAUGGCCAAAGCAAUGUCUCCCAGCGGCCGCCCCAAUGCGAUUUCAGGCUGUUCCUCAAAACCAUUGUACUGUACGGGGCCGAUGCUGGUGUUCCUCCUCAUGGCUGUUUCUUUCUACCUUUCCCCUCCUCUUUGCCCGUUCCACCCCCGUCCCUCCCACGCGUGAGGCCGUUGCUUUGGGCGUGGAUGGUGGAUGGGGGCGGCUUUCAUUUCUCUCCCAGCGAGGUUUUGCCACGAACCGCUUUACUCCACUGUUUCAUUUUUAAAAAAUAAAAAAAAA